UAUUUGACCUUCACAACAACCAAUGAAGUGCCAAACAGUACCUGACCCAUAGUGGACGUUUAAUGAAUAUUGGAUUGAAUGCCUGUUAUAAGCAAAGUACCACUCACCUGCCAAGGGAUAUGAUAAGGUCUCCUGGAUAACCAAGUGGGUACUUGUUAGAGAAAAAGAUCGACAGGGAGAGGAACAUGCAGAGACAAAGGCACAUUCCAACUACUCCAAGAUACCCAGGGGACGAGAAAGCAGAAACCAAAACCAAAAUAAAAGAAACAAGGUCCUCAGACAUAUCCUCCUUUUGGCAGAAACCGAGAAAGGGAAUCAUGAAACAGUGGAAACUCUGAGGGUUUAACUGUAGUAUGACACAAUGCUGCAAUCUUUCUGAUAUUUAAAGCUGAAAAGAAACAACACAUUCAGUUUUUUCUUAUAAGCCAUUUUCCAAGGCCUGUUGUAAAAAGGUCGAUGCCUCUUGGUGAUUGUUAAAAGGAACAUAGAGACUGUUUUUCUUGAAAAUGGGUUGGCAAAGAAGCCCAUAACCUCCUGGAAUUUUCUCUUUCUACCUCACUGAGAAAGCCUACUGU